AUACGUAGGGAGCAAGCGUUGUCCGGAUUUACUGGGUGUAAAGGGUGCGUAGGCGGCUCUGCAAGUCAGGCGUGAAAUACAUGGGCUUAACCCAUGGACUGCGUUUGAAACUGUGGAGCUUGAGUGGAGUAGAGGUAGGCGGAAUUCCCGGUGUAGCGGUGAAAUGCGUAGAGAUCGGGAGGAACACCAGUGGCGAAGGCGGCCUACUGGGCUUUAACUGACGCUGAGGCACGAAAGCAUGGGUAGCAAACAGGAUUAGAUACCCUGGUAGUCCAUGCUGUAAACGAUGAUUACUAGGUGUGGGGGGUCUGACCCCUUCCGUGCCGGAGUUAACACAAUAAGUAAUCCACCUGGGGAGUACGACCGCAAGGUUGAA
rnacentral:rRNA from 1 species